GUACACCUGUUAAAAGCAGAACAUAAACAUCUCAUCACAAGGAAGGAUAUUUUCAAUACUGGUUAGCAUGGGAACUUUUGAGUCAUACAAAUAUACAGAGAAUUUUCUAAUGAAUUUGUUUGUGCCCAUGGCCAACUUUGACCAUCAUCAAUAUGGUUCAUCUUGUUUAAUUUUUCAGCCCAUUUUACCCACCCGCUUACUCCCUCGCUGGAUGAUUUUUACAACAGAUCAACGAAGCAGGAUCAUAUCAUUGGACUGGGAAAGCCCAUCAUGCCCUCUCUACUUUCUCCACAUGAACCCAUGGGAUCCAGCAUCUAUGGAUUCAUGGGAAUCAGACCAUAAUUGAGUGAACAGAGGCCGUGAUCAGCAGCUGUAGAGACCAGCUGAGCUCUCAAGUCUCUGGGCCAUGGGGAGUGCCAGGCAGUGUUUUGGGCUCUGUAGCUACAGCAAUAACAAGACAGAAAAGAGGAACAACAAUAAACAAUCACAUGGAGGUUGGAUCUCAGCAGGGGAACACCUUGAAUAGAGUCACUAAUUGUAAAGAAACAUUUUCAUGUGGCUGACCCCACCUUGACAAGUUCAUCACUCUCGGGAUCUGAAGCCUGCUGCUGACAGCUGAGAGAUACGCAUUCCUGUAAUUCUGAAGAAUGGAUUGACAUGUUCAAAAGUUGAUGAUGUUAUUUGAAUACAUGUUUUAUAUAUAAUCCUGCUUCAAGAGAAUGAGGUCAAUCUGCUUGGCCUCACAAAUGGCUGGGGUCUUAUGGUAGAGCAGAA